CCUACGGGGUGCAGCAGUGAGGAAUAUUGGUCAAUGGACGAGAGUCUGAACCAGCCAAGUAGCGUGAAGGAUGACUGCCCUAUGGGUUGUAAACUUCUUUUAUAUGGGAAUAAAAUGUUCCACGUGUGGGAUUUUGUAUGUACCAUAUGAAUAAGGAUCGGCUAACUCCGUGCCAGCAGCCGCGGUAAUACGGAGGAUCCGGGCGUUAUCCGGAUUUAUUGGGUUUAAAGGGAGCGUAGGUGGAUUGUUAAGUCAGUUGUGAAAGUUUGCGGCUCAACCGUAAAAUUGCAGUUGAAACUGGCAGUCUUGAGUACAGUAGAGGUGGGCGGAAUUCGUGGUGUAGCGGUGAAAUGCUUAGAUAUCACGAAGAACUCCGAUUGCGAAGGCAGUUCACUGGACUGCAACUGACACUGAGGCUCGAAAGUGUGGGUAUCAAACAGGAUUAGAUACCCUUGUAGUC
rnacentral:rRNA from 1 species